GACCCGACCUAUAUCUGACCCGACCCGUUGAUGUCUGACCCGACCCGAUUGUCACCCCUAGCUGAACCGGUUUCGGACACAAUUCAAAGAGAAGAGAGAGAGAGAGAGAGAGAGAGAGAGAGAGAGACAAGGCCGAGACCAGCACCAAGAGGGAACCGCUUUUCGAUAGUGAAGGAAAAAGAACCUACCCCCACACAGCUGAACUUGCGGAACCCACAUCAUUAUCAGAAAAGCAAGGUGUCAAUUAUAAUCCGUCUCGGAUCACCUACUUGUCUGAGCUUCUACUACCGAAAGAACAAGUCGAUGAAUUGCUAUUUUUUUCCUGCUUUUCCAUGAUUCUUUUAUACCAAAGUCUACAAUCUCGAUAUUGAAUACCAUGUUGGUAUUUUACCAAUUUGGUAAAAUAUAGUCGAUAUGGUAUGGUAUGCAUCAUAUACUAAAAUAAUUUUUUAGCCAUUUUUUUAUUUUUAUCAUGGUUCUUCUUAUAUAGUUCGCAUCUUAGUGUGCCUUAAUAUAUAUCGGUACAUCUUAGUACGGAAUAGUACAGGAUGAUACAAGAUUUGUACCAUUUUAAAGUUGAGUUUCGUACCAAUUUUUUUUAUAUAUGGUACACCCU
rnacentral:lncRNA from 1 species